rnacentral:rRNA from 1 species
AAUAGAUACCCGGGUAGUCCACGCCGUAAACGAUGAGUGCUAAGUGUUAGGGGGUUUCCGCCCCUUAGUGCUGCAGCUAACGCAUUAAGCACUCCGCCUGGGGAGUACGGUCGCAAGACUGAAACUCAAAGGAAUUGACGGGGGCCCGCACAAGCGGUGGAGCAUGUGGUUUAAUUCGAAGCAACGCGAAGAACCUUACCAGGUCUUGACAUCCUCUGACAAUCCUAGAGAUAGGACGUCCCCUUCGGGGGCAGAGUGACAGGUGGUGCAUGGUUGUCGUCAGCUCGUGUCGUGAGAUGUUGGGUUAAGUCCCGCAACGAGCGCAACCCUUGAUCUUAGUUGCCAGCAUUCAGUUGGGCACUCUAAGGUGACUGCCGGUGACAAACCGGAGGAAGGUGGGGAUGACGUCAAAUCAUCAUGCCCCUUAUGACCUGGGCUACACACGUGCUACAAUGGACAGAACAAAGGGCAGCGAAACCGCGAGGUUAAGCCAAUCCCACAAAUCUGUUCUCAGUUCGGAUCGCAGU